rnacentral:rRNA from 1 species
AAAUAACAACACUGGAAAUUUGAUUUCUAGUGAUUGGAAUGAUGGGAAUCCAAACCCCUUUCAGAGUAACAAUUGGAGGGCAAGUCUGGUGCCAGCDGCCGCGGUAAUUCCAGCUCCAAUAGCSUAUAUUAAAGUUGUUGCAGUUAAAWAGCUCGUAGUUGGAUGUCUGUUGGAAGCAAUCAUCAGUCCGCCCUAUUUGAUUAGGGUGUGAAUAUGAUGAAUUCCGGCAUAAUUGUCUCCCUAUUGUUAAUAUUCUGAUUGUUAGAUUCAUUUCUAACAAUAAUACGAUUAUUAAUAAUAAGGGGGAAAUGUUACUUUGAGAAAAWUAGAGUGUUUGAAGCAGGCUUUUGUUGCCUUGAAUACUGCAGCAUGGAAUAACAAUAUAGGAUUUCGGUUCUAUUUUGUUGGUUCUUUUUUUAGGACUGAAAUAAUGAUUAAUAGGGACAGUUGGGGGCAUUCGUAUUUAACUGUCAGAGGUGAAAUUCUUAGAUUUGUUAAAGACGAACUACUGCGAAAGCAUUUGCCAAAGAUGUUUUCAUUAAUCAAGAACGAAAGUUAGGGGCUCGAAGACGAUCAGAUACCGUCGUAGUCUUAACCAUAAACUAUGCCGACU